rnacentral:tRNA from 1 species
GGCGAGGUGGCGGAAUUGGUAGACGCGCUACUUUGAGGUGGUAGUGUCAAUUGCGACGUGUGGGUUCGAGUCCCAUCUUCGUCA